rnacentral:misc_RNA from 1 species
GAAACGCGAUAGUUAAUGUGAAUUGCAGAAUUCAGUGAAUCAUCGAGUCUUUGAACGCACAUUGCGCCCAUAGGUAUUCCUUUGGGCAUGUCUGUUUGAGCGUCAUUACAACCCUCAGCUAACCGCUGGUUUUGAACCUGAACGGGUGACACCGCGCCGGUUUUAAAGUUGUAAGCUCUGCUGGCCGCUCUGCCCAACCAGAACAUAGUAAGCACUACUUGUCCGGGUGAAGCUGAACGGUACGUCCUGAACAAAACCUACCCACUCUCAAGGUUUGACCUCAGAUCAGACAAGGAUACCCGCUGAACUUAAGC